AAAUCACAGGGAGACACGCUGAAUCCCCUGAGACUCCCCUUCUGUGUGUACAAAAACCCUGUUGCUGGAAAUGGCCUUUCGGAAGCCGACAAGGGGCUGAGUGGAUGGCGCCCAGCCAGGCUGAACGGAGGACUCAUGCGGCCAGGGACGGAGAAAUUUUCCUUUUGCUGCCCAUGGGCCUCAGGUACAAAGAGUUGAGUUAAUUAUGUUUCUUGGCUCGAUGGAUACCUCCCUCCCCAGCAAAACCUAACCAUCUCACCAAUGCCUCCUGAGUGGGGUUAUUUACGGUUGUGACAAAACACACAUGUGCAUUUUAAAGUUAACUCAUAUUUAUAAAACUGUGCCAGAAUACAGCUCUUAUUCCAUUGUGAGAGUUCCGUCUUAAUCUUGUCAGCCUAAAUCAAGGCAAGCUCAAAUGACGAGACAUUUAUUCUGGGAUGGUAGAGGAAUUGCAAUUAAGGAAAUACUCUUCACAGUAAGCUGCAGGUGAGUCUGUUGAGGGCGUGGGGUGGGCUGUACAGACAGGCAAGGAACACAAAGGGGGAGGCCCAGCCAGAGUGCAAGCAGUAAGGUGACUAGCUUGAGGAUGCGGAGGGCGUCUUGGUGGAUGUUCACUGGUCAGGAGUUACAAUUCAGACUUGGCUCAUACCUUCCUCAUGCAUUGUGUUACGAAGAGAAGAGUCAUCUGGGAUUCACAAGGUUCACCCAAAAGACUUUCAGGCUCAUCCUCCCUCCCUGUUCUCACACCUCGUGGCGAUGGAAUGGAUGUAUUUUGAAAAGGUAUCCCAGAUGAUUAUAAUGUAUUUAUUUCCCAUCUUUCCGAGGGAAAAAGAAACAAGCACUCAAAAGUCACAUAUUUCGCAGCCAUUCUUCUGUGGGCUCUGGCCUGUGCAGUUCCUAGGGUUACAUAAGAGAUACAAGGCAUCACAGUGAGCUGCGGUGGAGUGGAGAUGGAUUUUUUUUUUCCCCACUGUGCAAACCUGCAUGGGAGCAAAGAGAGGAAAAAUCACAUGCCCUUCUCUCGGUGCCUGCCUGCCUUCUCACCAGGAAGGAAACCAUACACACCCCAGCUGAAAUCUCAUGCACCAGGAAUAAGCAUGUUUUUAAGGCUACUUUUUUGUUGUUUUUUAAUUUAGUAUUUAUUUAUUUUUUCUUUAGGGCCGCACUCGCCGCAUAUGGAGGUUCCCAGGCUAGGGGUCAAACUGGAGCAGCAGCUAGCUGCUGGCUUACAUCACAGCCACAGCAACGCCAGAUCCGAGCUGCGUCUGUGAGUUACACCACAUUUCGUGGCAAGCCACAUCCUUAACCCACUGAACGGGACCAGGGAUCAAACCUGUGUCCUCACGGAUGCUAGUCAGAUUUGUUUCCGCUGAGCCACGACGGGAAUUCCUUAAGGCUGUUUUGUUGAUGUGGCUGACACAGACACAUUAAGAAGCAAAGGGGGAAUAGAGAACUACUUCCUAUCAAAAUAAAUCCUCCCAAUCAAGCA
rnacentral:lncRNA from 1 species